rnacentral:rRNA from 1 species
AGAUUGAACGCUGGCGGCAUGCCUUACACAUGCAAGUCGAACGGCAGCACGGGAGCAAUCCUGGUGGCGAGUGGGCGAACGGGUGAGUAAUAUACCGGAACGUGCCCAGUCGUGGGGGAUAACGCAGCGAAAGCUGUAGCUAAUACCGCAUACGAUCUAUGGAUGAAAGCGGGGGAUCGCAAGACCUCGCGCGAUUGGAGCGGCCGAUAUCAGAUUAGCUAGUUGGUGGGUAAAAGCCUACAAGGCGACGAUCUGUAGCUGGUCUGAGAGGACGACCGAGCCACACGUGGAACUGAGACACGGUACCAGACUCCGUACGGGAGCAGCAGGU